rnacentral:lncRNA from 1 species
GCGCCUUGGCUGGUUGAGUAGGGCUUUGGGUUGACCUCCGGUUCAGUUGCUGAUCUGAUGACCACAUCAUCCCCUCCCUCUUGACAAGGUUUCGACCUCGAAACUGUAUAAUCUGCACCAAGAUAGAGCAAGUCAGCUUUCAUUCUCUUUUGAGAUUCUAAAGCCUUACCUUGGUAUUGUUUUGGUUUUGCUUCUUUAAGCAAUAUGGACUGCAUUGUCUCUUGAACAAUCUUCUGGUCCAUCACAAGAGUCACGCCUGGU